AUCGAACGCUGGCGGCAGGCCUAACACAUGCAAGUCGAACGAGUGGCGGACGGGUGAGUAAUGUCUGGGAAACUGCCUGAUGGAGGGGGAUAACUACUGGAAACGGUAGCUAAUACCGCAUACCAUCAGAUGUGCCAAGAUGGGAUUAGCUUGUUGGUGGGGUAACGGCUCACCAAGGCGACGAUCCCCAGCUGGUCUGAGAGGUUGACCAGCCACACUAGAGCUGAGACACGGUCCAGACUCCUACGGGAGGCAGCAUUGGGGAAUCUUGCACACUGGGCGCAAUCCUGAUGCAGCCAUGCCGCGUGUAUGAAGAAGGCCUUCGGGUUGUAAAGUACUUUCAGCGGGGAGGCGUUACCCGCAGAGGAAGCCCCGGCUAACUCCGUGCCAGCAGCCGCGGUAAUAC
rnacentral:rRNA from 1 species